GAUAUUGUGCCGGAUAAAACGGAUAACUCUGAUGACGUUAAACAUAGGCUAACCCCUCAAUAUCU
rnacentral:tRNA from 1 species